rnacentral:misc_RNA from 1 species
GUCAAACAUCGCCGUCAUUUAUCAUACGCCGUCGGAGGUAAGCUCAUUGUCGUACGCCUACCUUUUCAUUUUCAUCUGAUCCAACGACCCGUUUCUGACCCGCUUUGCAUCCAAACCCUAAUCUAGCCACUUAUACUGUUCAAUACCUGUUCUAAUCGAUUUGUUACCUGUAAUAAUAAAUUUUUCCCCGUUAAACUAUUACUAUCAUUUUUUCGGUCUUG